CCUACGCGAGGCAGCAGUGGGGAAUAUUGCACAAUGGGCGAAAGCCUGAUGCAGCAACGCCGCGUGAAGGAAGACGGUUUUCGGAUUGUAAACUUCUAUCAAUAGGGAAGAAAGAAAUGACGGUACCGAAAUAAGAAGACCCGGCUAACUACGUGCCAGCAGCCGCGGUAAUACGUAGGGGGCAAGCGUUAUCCGGAAUUACUGGGUGUAAAGGGAGAGUAGGCGGCAAGGUAAGCGAUAUGUGAAAGCCUUAAGCUUAACUAAAGGAUUGCAUAACGAACUAUCUAGCUAGAGUACAGGAGAGGAAAGCGGAAUUCCUAGUGUAGCUGUGAAAUGCGUAGAUAUUAGGAAGAACACCAGGGGCGAAGGCGGCUUUCUGGACUGAAACUGACGCUGAGGCUCGAAAGCGUGGGGAGCGAACAGGAUUAGAUACCCGAGUAGUC
rnacentral:rRNA from 1 species